rnacentral:ncRNA from 1 species
ACAGUACAAACUGAGCAGGCGAUGUUUUAACAUGGGGCCGGGUUACCGACGUGUAACAGCAGAAAGUGUAUAGCACCUUCUGUGGGACAG